CAGAGUUGCAAAACUCCCUAAACCAUUGUGAACGUUACCUAAACCGUUGCUUCGGCGGGCGGCCCCGGGGUUCUCCCCGGGCGCCCUGAGCCCCAUCGCGGGCGCCCGCCGGAGGUCACCAAACUCUUGAUAAUUUAUGGCCUCUCUGAGUCUUCUGUACUGAAUAAGUCA
rnacentral:misc_RNA from 1 species